CACGAAGUUAGCCGAUCCUUAUUCUUACGGUACAAUCAGCCUCGGACGCAUCCAAGGGUUUUUUCCCGUAUAAAAGAAGUUUACAACGCAUAGCGCCGUCAUCCUUCACGCGGCAUGGCUGGAUCAGUCUUGCGACCAUUGUCCAAUAUUCCUUACUGCUGCCUCCCGUAGG
rnacentral:rRNA from 1 species